rnacentral:rRNA from 1 species
UACGUAGGGGGCUAGCGUUGUCCGGAUUUAUUGGGCGUAAAGAGCGUGUAGGCGGCCAGGUAGGUCCGCUGUGAAAGUCCGAGGCUCAACCUCGGAAUGUCGGCGGAAACCCUCUGGCUAGAGUCCGGAAGAGGAGAGUGGAAUUCCCGGCGUAGCGGUGAAAUGCGCAGAUAUCGGGAAGAACACCCGUGGCGAAGGCGGCUCUCUGGAACGGUACUGACGCUGAGACGCGAAAGCGUGGGGAGCGAACAGG